CAUCAAGUUUAUUUUCUCACCUCCUAGAUUGAUACAUACCCUCAGCCUGCCAAAGUUUUCCAUCUCCAGCGACUAUAAUCUGGAAGACACCCUUUCUGAGCUGAACAUCCAGAAAGUCUUCACCUCUGAGGCUGACCUGUCAGGAAUCACAGGUGUCAAGAACUUAGAAGUUUCCCAGGUGGUCCACAGCGCUGUGCUGGACGUGGACGAGGAGGGCACGGAAGGAGCUGCUGCCACGGGAGUACAAAUUAUCCCCACUUCCUCACUUACAACCAUUGUGCGUUUCAACAGGCCCUUCCUGAUUGCUGCAAUUCUCAAAGACACCCAGAGCAUCAUCUUUUUGGGGAAAGUCACCAAUCCCAGUCAAGCCUAGAGUUCCGCUCUGGAGCUGUGGGUGCCCUCUCUAAGGAGCAGGGUGCCCAGGUCCCUGGGUGCAGCCUGGCCCCUGGGCACUGAGGAUCCACCCUGCCUGUCCCCUCCUUCUCGCCCCUGGGAAGGUGACAGUGAUGAUUCUGGGGCUCCACAUGCACAGGGAGUCUGCGUCCUGGUCACGAGGAGGCUCCUUCAACAGCAAUAAAGCACCUUCCUUGGACUGCA